UGGGGAUGAAAUUGUUCCAUUCAUACCUACCAGUUUCCCCCAUACUGACUUCUGGGCCAAUUUUGAUGAUACUCAAAACAAAUUUGUCUCUCUAUACACCAAUCUACACUUAACCCAAAAAAAAUGAGAACUGAAAUUGGUAGGGGGAAAAAAUUCCUAGCUUCCUUCUUCAUUAAUUAAUCUCACUCAAACAUAGCUCAACCGUUGGAAGUGUGUUAAUUAUUGGAGAAAUGGUUUUGGUUUAGUGAAAAUGGUGUAUGCUGCUCUGCAGGCCAUGGCCAAAAUCCUUGCUGCUCAUCCAUGCCAUUGAAAAUGUUGCAGAAGUUUUCUUCUUGAACCAAUUGAUCA
rnacentral:misc_RNA from 1 species